AUUGAACGCUGGCGGCAGGCCUAACACAUGCAAGUCGAGCGGAUGAAGGGAGCUUGCUCCUGGAUUCAGCGUCGGACGGGUGAGUAAUGCCUAGGAAUCUGCCUGGUAGUGGGGGAUAACGUCCGGAAACGGGCGCUAAUACCGCAUACGUCCUGAGGGAGAAAGUGGGGGAUCUUCGGACCUUACGCUAUCAGAUGAGCCUAGGUCGGAUUAGCUAGUUGGUUGGGUAAAGGCCUACCAAGGCGACGAUCCGUAACUGGUCUGAGAGGAUGAUCAGUCACACUGGAACAGAGACACGGUCCAGACUCCUACGGGAGGCAGCAGUGGGGAAUAUUGGACAAUGGGAGACAGCCUGAUACAGCCGUGCCGCGUGUGAGAAGAAGGUCUUAGGAUUGUAAAGCACUUUAAGUUGGGAGGAAGGGCAGUAAGUUAAUACCUUGCUGUUUUGACGUUACCAACAGAAUAAGCACCGGCUAACUUCGUG
rnacentral:rRNA from 1 species